AUGAGAGAAGAAGGUAGAAGUAAUGUUUAACCUUUUUUAUCAAUCCAUUCAUUUAAUUCCACAAGAAAUCAAUAACAAUUAGCGAAAAAGUUGAAUUGUUUGACAUUCAGGCAAACAAUAAAAAUGAUUUUAAGGUUGUUGUUAAAAUGAACACAACUUUUAAUGCUGAUAUUAAUCAAAAACCAAAUCAAGGAGGGUUAAUAAUGUCGGGCUUUGGCAACUACUUGCUUAAUUUUGAUCUUAUUUACACAUACAAACCAUUUAAAAACAAACCAAUUCUAGAGACAAGUAUUGUUAAAAACUCUGAUAAUAAAUUAGGGAAUUUGUGAUA
rnacentral:sRNA from 1 species